CCAUUGCUAUCCCUUAAACUUCACCCACUGUUUUCUAUCAUCUUCUAGUCUGGUCUCCUUCCCCAACGUUCUUCCGGAAACGAGUUUGGUAGAUUCGGGUCUUCUUGAACUAGGUAAGAGGUUACUUCGCUCGCUAAAGCUUCUUUUGCAAUCUUAUGGGCACACGAGUUUUCUGUUCUGGGAAUAUGUUGGAAUUUUAUUGUUUGAAAAUGAACACUCUUACUUUGAAUGUCCCGUAUGAUUGCUCCUAUUACUGAUUUAUCUGCUUCUGUUGAUUGACACUUUCUGAUUACUGUUCGCGAAUCCCCUUUGAUUUGUACUUCUUGAAAACCCAUUGAAAUCCCUAACUUAAUUGCUUCCAAUCUUGCGUAUGCUUCUGCCGCGAACGGAGAUGAAACAUUAUUGUGAAGGACCGCCUUGGAGGCCAGCAAUUCGUCCCUAAGCCCAAACCACCACUCUAGACACAGAUUUGAAAGUUCUUUUGUCAAACGCCGCGUCAAAGUGCACUUUAAUCUUUGGCAAGACUUACAUAUUUCUGUAUCUUCUAGCCUUAUCUGGGUUUUCCUGCUUUGCUAUCGUCCCCUUAUAACUUAGAAUUUUCUGUGCUAGUUGUCUUCCUGUUAUAGACACCUGCUCAUGUACAAACUGGUUUCUGGAAUACCAAGUUAGCCCUAAAGCAUAACAGAAAAGUCGACUCUGCUCCUCAGACUCUUUCAUGAAUACCCAG
rnacentral:lncRNA from 1 species